rnacentral:rRNA from 1 species
UACGUAUGGUGCAAGCGUUAUCCGGAUUUACUGGGUGUAAAGGGAGCGCAGGCGGCACGGCAAGCCUGAUGUGAAAGCCCGCGGCCCAACCGCGGGACUGCAUUGGGAACUACCGGGCUGGAGUGCCGGAGAGGUAGGCGGAAUUCCUAGUGUAGCGGUGAAAUGCGUAGAUAUUAGGAGGAACACCAGUGGCGAAGGCGGCUUACUGGACCGUAACUGACGUUGAGGCUCGAAAGCGUGGGGAGCAAACAGG